GUGAUACUCCCUCCGUCCGAAAAUACUUGUCAUCAAAAUGGAUAAAAAAAGAUGUACCUAGAACUAAAAUACGUCUAGAUACACCCCCUUUUUUUAUCCAUUUUGAUGACAAGUAUUUCCGGACGGAGGAAGUAUCAG
rfam:Triticum aestivum genome assembly, contig: Triticum_aestivum_CS42_TGACv1_scaffold_569385_7AS